AAAGAUCAGGAAUCGAGACAAGAACAGGCUUCCCCGCCCGAGACUUAACCUCAGAGGAAUAAAGAGCGAGAAGCACAGCCUCAAAGCCGGCGAGGGAAGGGAGAGAAGGGGAAUCGGAAGAAGUAGAAUGGACGCGAGAAAGGUACAAGGAGGAAAGAAGAGGAAGGAAAGAAAGAACAACAAGGCGGAGAUGGGGAUCGGAAGAGAGAAAAGUAUCGUAAAGCCAAUGGCAAAGAGGGUCAGAACCAGAUCCAGAGAGGGAGGAGGAGAGGGCAGAGGAAAUGGCGGAGUAAGCAUCAUGAGAUGACAAAAGAGAGAGAG
rnacentral:misc_RNA from 1 species